GAUCCUGCCGGAGGCUACCGCUAUUGGAGUUCGAUUANNCCNUGCGAGUCGAGAGUCUUAGGGACUCGGCGUACCGCUCAGUAACACGUGGGUAACCUGCCCUAUGCUGGGGAAUAACCUCGGGAAACUGAGAAUAAUGCCCCAUAGUCCACAAUGCCUGGAACGGUUUGUGGAUCAAAGCUCCGGCGGCAUAGGAUGGGCCUGCGGCGUAUCAGGUCGUAGGGGGUGUAACGUACCCUCUAGCCAUCGACGCGUACGGGUGUUGGGAGACAUAGCCCGGAGAUGGAUUCUGAGACACGAAUCCAGACCCUACGGGGUGCAGCAGGCGCGAAAACUUGGCAAUGCGAGAAAUCGUGACCAGGGAACUCCAAGUGGCUGGGGUAAGACCCAGUCUUUUCUUGACUCUUCAAAGGUCUUGGAAUAAGGGGUGGGUAAGGACGGUGCCAGCCGCCGCGGUAAUACCGGCGCCUCAAGUGGUAGUCGAUUUUAUUGGGCCUAAAACGUCCGUAGCCCGUUUGGUACAUUCGUGGGUAAAUCAACCAGCUCAACUGAUUGAAUUCUGCGAGCACGGCCAGACUUGGGACCGGGAGAGGUGUGGGGNACGCUCAGGGUAGGGGUAAAAUCCUGUCAUCCUGAGCGGACCACCUGUUUGCGAAGGCGC
rnacentral:rRNA from 1 species